UUGCGCAAAAACAAAAACCUCAAUCAAAACACAAACGCUUUUGAAGUUUUGAAUUCAGUUUUAACCAAAAUUCAGCCAUUUUGUGAAAUUUAAUUCUUUUCUUUCGGUGUUCGUUUUGUCGUAUGUCUUUUAAUUUGGUUAAUUAAUUCGUUUAGUUCGGUUUCGUGGUUCAUGUUAUUUAUUUUUUAUUAUUUUACUAUAUUAUUGGAGUCUUAUUCGUGAUUUAUAGUGCGGUAAAAGUGUAGGUACUCAAGAAUAUCGAUGGCAGUAUCGGUAAUGGGCUUCAUCGAAAGAAGCAUCAAGAUUGCACAUGAACUUUAGUCAUCAAGAUUUCAGUAUUCUGCAUUUCGGUCGGCGAAGUUGAGCGUAUCUUUUCGGUAUUGGAAAUUCAUCCUCGAUCGCCCUCAAUGAUUAUGCAGACGAUUCGCCGACUGUUCGCAUGCUUGAUAUACGUCGCGUUGUGAAUGUGUACGAGUAUUCGGCCUUAUUAAGAUUAUCAGCUUUUUAAUCACUUCUCGCCGCCUCGUCUUUGGAAUUACAACUAUGUUUUCUCAAAAUGCUGCAUCGACUCGAUCGCGUGAGAAAUUUGAACCCGCAGAUCUCAAUAUUCGAAUAAUCCACUCCACACUCCGAUAAACAGCAGUCGUCAUUUUCUGGAAGGAAAUUCUCGUGUCAACGUGUGGUUGCUGAUGAUUACGAUGCCAGGAGAUUAGUUUAUGCUGAUAUUCCAACGGUUAUGUUUUGAGGGCGUUUCAAAGAUUUUCAGAUUUGCAGAACAGGUGGCUGGAUGAUUGUGUAAUUGAAAAGAGACACAUCUGCUGUGUACCUUGGUGUAUGGGAUAUGGCACCGUCGAGUUUUGUCAUCGUGUCAAGAAGGUGGCUCUUUGCUGUGCGGACGUUUGAAAAUGGAAAUUCCCCGUCGACGAUGGUGCUGGUUGAUUAUCGAGAAAACCAUUCUAGGGGCUAACCAAACGCACCCCAGGUUUGCUGUAAACUGAGAAGCUGAGAACGCUCGAAUCCACUAUCUAAAUGAAAAAGAGGGUUUUUGGUA